CCUACGGGUGGCAGCAGUGGGGAAUAUUGCACAAUGGGGGCAACCCUGAUGCAGCGACGCCGCGUGAAGGAUGAAGUAUUUCGGUAUGUAAACUUCUAUUAGCAGGGAAGAAAAUGACGGUACCUGACCAAGAAGCACCGGCUAACUACGUGACAGCAGCCGCGGUAAUACGUAGGGGGCACGCGUUAUCCGGAUUUACUGGGUGUAAAGGGAGCGUAGGCGGUUUAGCAAGUCAGAAGUGAAAGCCCGGGGCUCAACUCCGGGACUGCAUUUGAAACUGUUGGACUAGAGUGCAGGAGCGGUAAGUGGAAUUCCUGGUGUAGCGGUGAAAUGCGUAGAUAUUAGGAGGAACACCGAUGGCGAAGGCGGGUUACUGGACUGUAAAUGACGCUGAGGCUCGAAAGCGUGGGGAGCAAACAGGAUUAGAUACCCUGGUAGUC
rnacentral:rRNA from 1 species